rnacentral:tRNA from 1 species
AGAUUUAUAGCUCAAUGGCAGAGCAUCUUGUUGAUAAUGAGAAGGUUAAUGGUUCGAGCCCAUUUAAAUCUA